rnacentral:rRNA from 1 species
AUGGAGCAGAACACGGCAACGAAACCCAUCAGAUGCAAAGGUGGCCGGGCAGCCGCUGGAGAUGGAGGAGGUGGAGGUGGCGCCGCCGCGGGCGAGGUCCGCAUCAGGAUUCUCUGCACCUCGCUCUGCCACACCGACGUCACCUUCUGGCGCUUGAAGGAUUUCCCGGGCCAGCAUCCGAUAAUCCUGGGCCAUGAAGCAGCCGGCGUGGUGGAGAGCGUGGGGGAGCACGUGCACGAGGUGGCCGUCGGGGACACGGUGGUGCCGGUGUUCUCGGCGCAGUGCGGCGACUGCCCCGACUGCCUCUCGGACCGCAGCAACAUCUGCUCCGGGCUCCCCGCCCGGCCCGGCAUGCCGCGCGACGGCACGACCCGCUUCUCGUUCGCCGCCACCGGCGAGCCCAUCCACAACUUCAUCGGCGUGUCCAGCUUCACCGAGUACACGGUCGUCGACGUCGCGCACGUCGUCAGGAUCGGGCCCGGCGUCCCGCCGGAAAAGGCCUGCCUGCUCAGCUGCGGCGUCUCCACCGGUGUCGGCGCGGCGUGGAAGGUGGCGGCGGUGGAGCCCGGGUCCAGCGUCGCCGUGUUCGGGCUCGGCGUCGUCGGGUUAGCGGUAGCACAAGGGUGCAGGAUGCGUGGGGCUAAGCAGAUUAUUGGAGUGGAUCUGAACCCGGAGAAGUGGGACAUCGGUAAGAGGCUGGGAAUCACCGACUUCGUCAAUCCGAACGAUAUCGGGGAGAAGGCCAUGAGCGAGGUCAUCAAGGAGAUGACCGGCGGCGGCGCCGACUACUGCUUCGAGUGCAUCGGGUCGACGUCGGUCAUGGCGGAGGCGUUCCAAAGCUCCCGGAAGGGCUGGGGGAAGACGGUCGUGCUCGGCGUCUCCAGCGGCGGCGCGCCGAUGAGCAUACCCCCGCACGACAUCCUCAUGGGGAGGUCGGUCGUCGGCUCGCUCUUCGGCGGGCUCAAGCCCAAGGCCGACAUCCCGAUCCUGGCGCAGAAGUACGUGGACAAGGAGCUGGAGUUGGACGAGUUCGUGACGCACGAGAUGGGGUUCCACGACAUUAACGCGGCGUUCGAGCUGCUCACCCAGGGGAAGUGCCUCAGGUGCAUCAUCUGGAUGGACGGGGCCAAGGCGAACGGCGUGGAGGCCCUCGAUAAUGGCCGCGCGUGCAAGGCGUGA